GACGAACGCUGGCGGCGUGCUUAACACAUGCAAGUCGAACGGAAAGGCCCUGCUUUUGUGGGGUGCUCGAGUGGCGAACGGGUGAGUAACACGUGAGUAACCUGCCCUUGACUUUGGGAUAACUUCAGGAAACUGGGGCUAAUACCGGAUAGGAGCUCCUGCUGCAUGGUGGGGGUUGGAAAGUUUCGGCGGUUGGGGAUGGACUCGCGGCUGAUCAGCUUGUUGGUGGGGUAGUGGCUGACCAAGGCUUUGACGGGUAGCCGGCCUGAGAGGGUGACCGGCCCCCUUGGGCCUGCGGUACGGCCCAGACUCCUACGGGAGGCAGCAGUGGGGAAUAUUGCACAGUGGGCGGACGCCUGAUGCAGCAGCGCCGCGUUCGGGAUGACGGCCUUCGCGUUGUAAACCGCUUUCGCCUGUGACGAAGCGUGAGUGACGGUAAUGGGUAAAGAAGCACCGGCUAACUACGUG
rnacentral:rRNA from 1 species